rnacentral:rRNA from 1 species
UUGUAGUACCAUCCAGAGACGGGGAGAUAGUGGCGAAAUACUUUUCGCAUUGGCUGGUAGCUGGUUGUUUUGGAAAUAUAUAGAAGUAUAGCCCUAUUUUGGGACGGAUUCUACAAAUAUAGUUUAUUUUGAGUUACAAGAUUCUGUUCUCUUUUAGGAGAUGGUUCCUCCAGGCUAAGCUGGGGGGGCGCUUGAAAAGGAUAAUUGUUGAAGUUUUAGGUUUACAAGUAGGUUUUAAGGAGCCACCUUUAUGGAGUGGGUUACACCACAUAUGAGCCUUUAUUUUAAAUUAUAAUUUAUUUAUCUUUUAGUUGUACGGGACCUUCCCACGAAACUACGAUAGUGGGAGCGUUAAUGUAGAGAUGAGUAGUCGAGAUAGUUGUAAUUAUUUUUUAUUUCAGGGAAAAAAAUAAUAACAUAAGAAUGCGUAUUGGUAAACAAACCUUAAGGAACUCGGCAAAAGAGAGGACCGCCUGUUUAGCAAAAACAUGGCUUUCUGUGCAACAUAGGGGGUCGUGCCUUCCCGGUGGGUAUACGAGC